UACGUAGGGGGCAAGCGUUGUCCGGAUUUAUUGGGCGUAAAGAGCGUGUAGGCGGCUUGACAGGUCUGCUGUGAAAACUCGAGGCUCAACCUCGAGAUGUCGGCGGAAACCGUCUGGCUAGAGUCCGGAAGAGGAGAGUGGAAUUCCUGGUGUAGCGGUGAAAUGCGCAGAUAUCAGGAAGAAAACCUAUGGCGAAGGCAGCUCUCUGGGACGGUACUGACGCUGAGACGCGAAAGCGUGGGGAGCGAACAGG
rnacentral:rRNA from 1 species